CCAUACCAUCAGGACGAGACGGGUAGCCGGCCUGAGAGGGCGACCGGCCACACUGGGACUGAGACACGGCCCAGACUCCUACGGGAGGCAGCAGUGGGGAAUAUUGCACAAUGGGCGAAAGCCUGAUGCAGCGACGCCGCGUGAGGGAUGACGGCCUUCGGGUUGUAAACCUCUUUCAGCAGGGAAGAAGCGAGAGUGACGGUACCUGCAGAAGAAGCGCCGGCUAACUACGUGCCAGCAGCCGCGGUAAUACGUAGGGCGCAAGCGUUGUCCGGAAUUAUUGGGCGUAAAGAGCUCGUAGGCGGCUUGUCACGUCGGAUGUGAAAGCCCGGGGCUUAACCCCGGGUCUGCAUUCGAUACGGGCUAGCUAGAGUGUGGUAGGGGAGAUCGGAAUUCCUGGUGUAGCGGUGAAAUGCGCAGAUAUCAGGAGGAACACCGGUGGCGAAGGCGGAUCUCUGGGCCAUUACUGACGCUGAGGAGCGAAAGCGUGGGGAGCGAACAGGAUUAGAUACCCUGGUAGUCCACGCCGUAAACGUUGGGAACUAGGUGUUGGCGACAUUCCACGUCGUCGGGUGCCGCAGCUAACGCAUUAAGUUCCCCGCCUGGGGAGUACGGGA
rnacentral:rRNA from 1 species